rnacentral:rRNA from 1 species
CACUGCCGAGAAAAGCCUCUAGAUAGAAAAUAGGUGCCCGUACCGCAAACCGACACAGGUAGUCAAGAUGAGAAUUCUAAGGUGAGCGAGCGAACUCUCGUUAAGGAACUCGGCAAAAUGACCCCGUAACUUCGGGAGAAGGGGUGCUCUUUAGGGUUAACGCCCAGAAGAGCCGCAGUGAAUAGGCCCAAGCGACUGUUUAUCAAAAACACAGGUCUCUGCUAAACCGUAAGGUGAUGUAUAGGGGCUGACGCCUGCCCGGUGCUGGAAGGUUAAGAGGAGUGGUUAGCUUCUGCGAAGCUACGAAUCGAAGCCCCAGUAAACGGCGGCCGUAACUAUAACGGUCCUAAGGUAGCGAAAUUCCUUGUCGGGUAAGUUCCGACCCGCACGAAAGGCGUAACGAUUUGGGCACUGUCUCAACGAGAGACUCGGUGAAAUCAUAGUACCUGUGAAGAUGCAGGUUACCCGCGACAGGACGGAAAGACCCCGUGGAGCUUUACUGUAGCCUGAUAUUGAAAUUCGGCACAGCUUGUACAGGAUAGGUAGGAGCCUUUGAAACGUGAGCGCUAGCUUACGUGGAGGCGCUGGUGGGAUACUACCCUAGCUGUGUUGGCUUUCUAACCCGCACCACUUAUCGUGGUGGGAGACAGUGUCAGGCGGGCAGUUUGACUGGGGCGGUCGCCUCCUAAAAGGUAACGGAGGCGCUCAAAGGUUCCCUCAGAAUGGUUGGAAAUCAUUCAUAGAGUGUAAAGGCAUAAGGGAGCUUGACUGCGAGACCUACAAGUCGAGCAGGGUCGAAAGACGGACUUAGUGAUCCGGUGGUUCCGCAUGGAAGGGCCAUCGCUCAACGGAUAAAAGCUACCCCGGGGAUAACAGGCUUAUCUCCCCCAAGAGUUCACAUCGACGGGGAGGUUUGGCACCUCGAUGUC